rnacentral:rRNA from 1 species
AAGCGAACAAGUGCAUGUGGUGGAUGCCUUGGCGAUCACAGGCGA